rnacentral:snRNA from 1 species
AUGCUCCCUUCAGCAGCACAUAUAGUAAAUUUGGAAUGAUACAGAGAAGAUUAGCAUGGCCCCUACGCAAGAAUGACAUGCAAAUUUGUGAAGUGUUCCACAUUAAA